GGGGGGGGGGGCGGGGGGGGGGGGGUUUUUUAGGGGUUUUGACCCUGCUCAGGACGAACGCUGGCUGCGUGCUUAACACAUGCAAGUCGAACGCUGAAGCCUGGUGCUUGCACCGGGUGGAUGAGUGGCGAACGGGUGAGUAACACGUGAGUAACCUGCCCCUGACUUCGGGAUAAGCCCGGGAAACUGGGUCUAAUACCGGAUACGACUGUCGGACGCAUGUCUGGUGGUGGAAAGUUUUUUCGGUUGGGGAUGGGCUCGCGGCCUAUCAGUUUGUUGGUGAGGUAAUGGCUCACCAAGACGACGACGGGUAGCCGGCCUGAGAGGGCGACCGGCCACACUGGGACUGAGACACGGCCCAGACUCCUACGGGAGGCAGCAGUGGGGAAUAUUGCACAAUGGGGGAAACCCUGAUGCAGCGACGCAGCGUGCGGGAUGACGGCCUUCGGGUUGUAAACCGCUUUCAGCAGGGAAGAAGCGCAAGUGACGGUACCUGCAGAAGAAGUACCGGCUAACUACGUGCCAGCAGCCGCGGUAAUACGUAGGGUACGAGCGUUGUCCGGAAUUAUUGGGCGUAAAGAGCUCGUAGGUGGUUGGUCACGUCUGCUGUGGAAACGCAACGCUUAACGUUGCGCGUGCAGUGGGUACGGGCUGACUAGAGUGCAGUAGGGGAGUCUGGAAUUCCUGGUGUAGCGGUGAAAUGCGCAGAUAUCAGGAGGAACACCGGUGGCGAAGGCGGGACUCUGGGCUGUAACUGACACUGAGGAGCGAAAGCAUGGGGAGCGAACAGGAUUAGAUACCCUGGUAGUCCAUGCCGUAAACGUUGGGCACUAGGUGUGGGGGGCAUUCCACGUUCUCCGCGCCGUAGCUAACGCAUUAAGUGCCCCCGCCUGGGAAGAUG
rnacentral:rRNA from 1 species